rnacentral:lncRNA from 12 species
UUGGAACCCCCCCCCAGAACAAAAGUGCUGAAGCUCAAGGUUGUUGCAUCUGAAAAUGCCCUUCCUUCCCUGGGAGGCGGGCUGGUGGAGGAGCCUCCCCCCCCACCUCCCGAGAACCCUCCUGUGGCAGGGAGGGGGCAUCUUGCUCAUUCCUGGUGGCGUGAAUGACACCCUCCGAACCCGGGGCCCUACUCCCCGACACUGCUGAGCCUGCCUGGAGACAGGGAAGGGGCGGGGAAGGCUGGGGGCGCAGCCCUGGGAGCCGAGAUCGGAGCCGCGGGUCACCUUGCGGAGAUCAGAAACCCUGGACGAGGACCAAUGUACAGCCACCCUGGUUAGAAGCUGUGAUUGUCCCCAAGAAGGGAAAAACCCGUGUUGCGGAGGCGUCAUGCCCUUCAGAGCCUGUCCUCCGUACUCUCUCCAACCCUUGGCUCUCUACAUCAGCGGCUACCGGCUCGGGGAGGCAGGUGACCUGCUCAGGAUCACACAGCCUGCCUCUCCUGCCCCCACACCCUCUGCAGCCACCGACCCAGGACCUCGUUACAGAAUGCAACUAGAUGCCCGGAGCAGUGGCAGCCGACUUGCAGCCAUGAGGGGAGACCAGGAGACUUGGAGGCAACCGUCUUGACAUCACUGUGCUACUGAAUCAAAGCCAGCAGCUGCCGACCCCGGGACUUCCUGUGUUGAGAAACAGCCCAAUCUAUUUGCUUAAACCACUCUAGUUAUGUUUGCUGCCCCUUAUGGCCUAAAGCAUUCCUCACACGGCCAUCCUUUAUUUUCCUCAGCCUUGAAAUCAUGUUAAAGACGAAACACAUACGUGAAAGCACUUUGCAAACUGUAAAGCACCCCACAAACGGACACUGUUUGCUGUUGGCUUGGAGACACUGGCAAUGUCUGUUCCAGGCCAAGAAACCCAGACUUGAGGGCUUGAAAUCAUGGGGCACAGAGACCUCUCUUCCACCCCAAAACAUCUGCUUUUAGACUUGGUUGCUGACUGACCCCAAAUGGCCUGGCCACUGCCUGCUGGAGAAUCCAUCGGCCAGUACACUCCGGGCUGGAACAUUCUCCACUCAGCACCUGGGUUGUGGUUGCUGAAAAUGAAUCGGUGACUUGCACACUCCCCCCCCCCGCCCCCAACCUCUCCUUCUAUCUGGAAGGAAGAAGAAUCUGCCACUCGAGCGGAGGUGGGGCUGGCGAGGACGGAGUGGCCAGCACUUGGCACAGUGCCCGGCCCAGAGCCACCUUUCGAAAUAGUGGCUCUUGAGUAAAGGGCCUCUGGCCGAUCUUGGCUCCCCAUCCCCAGCCGCCCUGUGCACAUUUGGCCCCCCUGCCCUCCCUCACCUCAGUCUCACCCCGGCUGCCCCAGCUGAGGGGCAAUCCUCCGAGCCCCUUCCACGUGAAUGGUGCAUUUUUGGCGAGUAAAGGAAGCUCGUGGGUCUCAUCUCUUCUGAUUGCUCCCAUGCUUCUGGUUAUUCUUCAUUAUGUGGGUGAGAAAAUGGAGAUUCAGAAACAUGGGCUUGUCUGUUUCUUCCCAAUUUCGCUCUGCCCUUGCUGAGG